rnacentral:tRNA from 1 species
GCCGCGGUGCUGGAAUUGGCAGACAGGCCAGACUUAAAAUCUGGUGACCGCAAGGUCGUGUGGGUUCGACUCCCUCCCGCGGCA